UACAGAGGGUGCAAGCGUUAAUCGGAAUUACUGGGCGUAAAGCGUGCGUAGACGGUUAUGUAAGUCGGGUGUGAAAUCCCCGGGCUUAACCUGGGAACUGCAUUCGAGACUGCAUAGCUAGAGUAUGGGAGAGGGAAGUGGAAUUUCAGGUGUAGCGGUGAAAUGCGUAGAUAUCUGAAGGAACAUCAGUGGCGAAAGCGACUUCCUGGACCAAUACUGACGCUCAUGUGCGAAAGCGUGGGGAGCAAACAGG
rnacentral:rRNA from 1 species